GACGAACGCUGGCGGCGUGCUUAACACAUGCAAGUCGAGCGAUGAAGCUACUGCGGUAGUGAAUUAGCGGCGAACGGGUGAGGAACACGUGAGGAAUCUGCCUUCAACACUGGGAUAACUCCGGGAAACCGGGGCUAAUACCGGAUACGAGCUCUGACCGCAUGGUCGGGGCUGGAAAGUUUUUCGGUUGAAGAUGACCUCGCGGCCUAUCAGCUUGUUGGUGAGGUAAUGGCUCACCAAGGCGACGACGGGUAGCCGGCCUGAGAGGGCGACCGGCCACACUGGGACUGAGACACGGCCCAGACUCCUACGGGAGGCAGCAGUGGGGAAUAUUGGGCAAUGGAGGAAACUCUGACCCAGCGACGCCGCGUGCGGGAUGAAGGCCUUCGGGUUGUAAACCGCUUUCAGUAGGGAAGAAGCGAAAGUGACGGUACCUACAGAAGAAGCACCGGCUAACUAUGUGCCAGCAGCCGCGGUAA
rnacentral:rRNA from 1 species